rfam:Triticum aestivum genome assembly, contig: Triticum_aestivum_CS42_TGACv1_scaffold_621658_7DS
AUCUUUGCGCUUGGGGCAAUGACGUAACUAGUGAAGUUAUACCAAGGCACGUCAAUUGCUGGUUGAAAACUAUUUUCAUACCCCCUCUUUGGCCUUCGUGGGUCGUUGAGAAUUUCUCACAGGGCUCCCUCACUUAGGAGAGAGUAAAGCC